GAGGUCUUAGCUUAAUUAAAGUGUCUAAGUUGCAUUUAGGAGAUGUAUUAUUGUGAAUUACAGGCCUU
rnacentral:tRNA from 1 species